rnacentral:rRNA from 1 species
AUACGUAGGGGGCGAGCGUUGUCCGGAAUGAUUGGGCGUAAAGGGCGCGUAGGCGGCGCGGUAAGUCUGGAGUGAAAGUCCUGCUUUCAAGGUGGGAAUUGCUUUGGAUACUGCCGCGCUUGAGUGCAGGAGAGGUUAUCGGAAUUCCCGGUGUAGCGGUGAAAUGCGUAGAGAUCGUGAGGAACACCAGUGGCGAAGGCGGGUAACUGGACUGCAACUGACGCUGAGGCGCGAAAGUGUGGGGAGCAAACAGGAUUAGAUACCCUGGUAGUCCACACGGUAAACGAUGAAUGCUAGGUGUAAGAGGUAUCGACCCCUUUUGUGCCGGAGUCAACACAAUAAGCAUUCCGCCUGGGGAGUACGGCCGCAAGGUUGAAACUCAAAUGAAUUGACGGGG